rnacentral:rRNA from 1 species
UACGUAGGGGGCAAGCGUUGUCCGGAAUCAUUGGGCGUAAAGAGCGUGUAGGCGGCUCGGUAAGUCCGCUGUGAAAGUCCAGGGCUCAACCCUGGAAUGCCGGUGGAUACUGUCGGGCUCGAGUCCGGAAGAGGAGUGUGGAAUUCCUGGUGUAGCGGUGAAAUGCGCAGAUAUCAGGAGGAACACCAAUGGCGAAGGCAGCACUCUGGGACGUGACUGACGCUGAGACGCGAAAGCGUGGGGAGCAAACAGG